CGCCUGGUUAUCAAAAACAUCUUUUCUCGUUAGUUUUUGAAGUAUGGCCUGCCCACUGACUUUUAUGUUGAAGGGCCGCGGUAUUUUGACCGUGCAAAGGUAGCAUAGUCAUUAGUUCUUUAAUUGUGAUCUGGUAUGAAUGGCUUGACGAGGCAUGGGCUGUCUUAAUUUUGAAUUGUUUAUUGAAUUUGGUCUUUGAGUUAAAAUUCUUAGAUGUUUUUAUGGGACGAGAAGACCCUAUAGAGUUUAACAUUUAUUAUGGUCCUUUUCUGUUUGUGAGGGUUCACUGGGCCGUUUAGGUAUGUUUUGUUGGGGUGAUGGGAGGGAUUUAUUUAACCCCUCCUUUAGGUUGUUAUAUUUAUUUAUAUUUACUUGAUCCAUUUAUUUUGAUUGUAAGAUUAAAUUACCUUAGGGAUAACAGCGUAA
rnacentral:rRNA from 1 species